CUGGCCAUGCUGGGGCGGGGCUUCCAGGGACAGCACUAACCGAGCGCAGCAUCAGCUGCAGCAUCUCACAGUGACUGGUGCCAGGCCCGCAGCCCAGCACUCCACCUGUGGAGGCUCCUCUAGGACAGCAUUGCUGUGAGGUGGCCACAGCCAGACUCACUGAGAGUGAGAAUCUGAGGCUCCAAAGGGACAAGAGACUUGCUGAAGGACACGGAAAGGCGUCAUAACCUAGGGCUGUCUGCUGACGCCUCAAGAAGUCCCCUAAAUGACAGACCAUCCACCAAAGACACAGCUGAUUCCCAGACCCAUCCCUCAGGGCCCUAACAGAGGUCCCCCCCUUCAAGAGGCCGCUCCUGGUACCUCCAGCAGCAAGGGAGCAUGUGCUGUGCUGUGUAUGCCCUUCCUUUGUACCUGUGGACAGCACCCCACUCGCCUGGCAUAUCCUGCCUCCCACAGGACCCCACGGUGGCAAGGAGCACAACUAGAAACACUGGUGCAUUAGGUGUGGAUUGUGAAUGCCACAAAACUAAGACUCUCUCUUCGACCUGCUCAAUGCUGGGAUUCAAGUCAGUGGGAAUUAUUCUCUUGGUGACUUUAGAAAACUGAUGGGAAAUCACCAUUAGUCAAAGGCCCCAAAGCAGGUGUGCAGCACAGCAGCAAAAAAGGCAUGGGCUUUUCCAGGAGGAUCUAUCAUCUAGGUCUAUAUUGGUUUCCAGUUGCAAAAUUCUUAAUCCCAGGAAGAAAAAUUUCUGCUGAGGAAAAGUCCCUCCCACACAGUUGAUCAGCUGAUGCUGCUAUUUGUGAACGUCCUCUUGAAUCAGGCAUCAGUUGGUAAGAGAGACACAGUUGACAAGACCCCCACCAAUGAAAUUGCAGGUAUCAUCUAUCAUGUACAUUGUCAGAUCUUCAUACAAGAGUUCAAUUGAAAGUGAAAUAAACCAACAUGCCAUGAUAUCUAUUUCAGACAAAGAUGGGUAGCCUUACCUUGGUGUUAGAUGGGGUCUCUUCCUCCAUCCUCUCAUGAGAAAGCUCCUCCAACAGGCCCUCAUGGGGAGUGUGGGGGACACAGAGUAACUGUCAGUCAUUGGUGGCGUUGCUCAGGAAUCACUCAGGGAGCCCUCCUUGAUGUGGAUACAGAACUAGAGUGUAUGGAGGUGAUUGAUCAACAAGCAUAGACUGAGCUGCUGCUGGGCCAUCGUCCUUGGUAGAAGAAGCAUAGAAGAGAAGAGGAAGAAGAGAGGAAUGAGACUCAGAAUCCUUAGAUUUGGAGCUAAAGACAGCUUAAACCCACGUGAAGUGUUACAUUUACAAAAGGAACUACAUAUAUGUUAUGAUUAAAUGACAAUCCCAUCAGUCUUUUUUCCCAUAUUUGAAUUCAGCUAAACUGCCACUAUCUUCUUGACUUCCUCCAAACCAUCUCAGCCUCCAUGGAUCCAUGUAUGCUGCAUUUCUCCUCAGUUGUAUCAGAUUUUCCAAUUGACGAAAAGCAACCUUCCAUUGGGGGACUGGGUCUAAUUCCAGGAAAAAAAUUCUUUUACUUAUUCACUAAACCUUUGUCAUAAAGAUAAUCAAUUUUAGAAAUUUUGAAAACACUGAU
rnacentral:lncRNA from 1 species